rnacentral:tRNA from 1 species
ACUCAGUAGCUAUGUGGAUAACGCGAUAGCGUUUGAAGCAAAUGGUACUGGGUUCGAGUCCCAGAGUGAGC